rnacentral:rRNA from 1 species
AAGAGAUCGGGAUAACACCUGGAAACAGAUGCUAAUACCGGAUAACAACAGAUGAUGCCUAUCAACUGUUUAAAAGAUGGUUCUGCUAUCACUCUGGAUGGACCUGCGGUGCAUUAGCUAGUUGGUAGGGUAACGGCCUACCAAGGCGAUGAUGCAUAGCCGAGUUGAGAGACUGAUCGGCCACAUUGGGACUGAGACACGGCCCAAACUCCUACGGGAGGCAGCAGC